AUGGCGGCAGCUGAGUCGAGGCAGGUACAGCAAGUUCAGCUAGAAGACGCCGGGUCUCUUCGCGCAUAUGCCGCUUAGAAGAGGUUGUUGGUGUAUAAAAAUCCUCCUCACUGGAAGGGACACUAUCAGUCGAGUGACGUUAAUCGAUCCAAACGCAUUAUCGCGAAACAGUUCAGUCAGUGUCUUUUGCACAAAGUCAAAAAACAACAAACCGCCAAAAUGAAAUUCCUGAUCAUGACCAUCUGCCUUGUGGUUCUGGCCUUUGCCCUGGUCUCGGCCGUCCCAGCAGUCAACGAUGAGAGCAUCUUUGGAGCCGAUGGCGCUGCCGAUGAGACCUACAACCCUCAGGACCCUCAGGCCAUCCUUCUGAAGAAGCUGCUCCUCAAGAAGAAACUUCUGCUGUUGGGUUAAAUCAACCCAAAAAAAACAAAAGUCAACCCAAAGCUCCAGAAAUGAUUGCAGUCUGCAGAGGGCGAUCCAACUCAAUUCCAAAGGUCAUAGCUGAUCCCGAUUCCGGGAUGAGGAUAACUAAUCAGUACAGGAUCCCACCCAGCAUCUGCAUCUCCAAUCGUUGAUGAGAUUUUCGCCUUCCCCAAUUUAGUACUAAGUACUUCUUCCUACAAAUAUUUUUCUAAAAAUUUUGAACCAUCCAAAAAAAAACAGAUCAAAGCCACAACUCAAAACAAAACAAAACAUAAGACUUAAUAGGAAUUACCAAACCGCAAUGCAGUGUAUGGAUUUUGUUUAUAAUUUUGUAUUUUCCUUUUUGUACUUACUACCAAACAUGUAUGUCUGAAAGCGAGUGUACGAGGAUUUUUAUUUUUUUUCGUUCUCGAGUUCUUAUACUUUGUGUACCUAUAAAUACCUACCUAAGUGUUCGAUAGCGAAGACAGGAUGUGAAUUGUUUCAGCGAAACUGCCAGUCAAAACUUUAUUUAGCGUUCGAAUGUGUUGUACAUGUACAAUCUAAAAUAAAUGAAUAUUUUUUACAACAACUUCCAAAAAACAGUA